rnacentral:rRNA from 1 species
GAUGAACGCUAGCUACAGGCUUAACACAUGCAAGUCGAGGGGUAACGAGAGGAAAGCUUGCUUUCCUUGUCGACGACCGGCGCACGGGUGAGUAACGCGUAUCCAACCUGCCCCCAACUAGGGAAUAACCUUGCGAAAGUAAGACUAAUACCCUAUAAUUUCCUCAGAUGCCAUCUGACGAGGAAUAAAGAUUUAUCGGUUGGGGAUGGGGAUGCGUCUGAUUAGCUUGUUGGCGGGGUAACGGCCCACCAAGGCAACGGUCAGUAGGGGUUCUGAGAGGAAGGUCCCCCACAUUGGAACUGAGACACGGUCCAAACUCCUACGGGAGGCAGCAGUGAGGAAUAUUGGUCAAUGGGCGGAAGCCUGAACCAGCCAAGUAGCGUGCAGGAUGACGGCCCUAUGGGUUGUAAACUGCUUUUAUACAGGAAUAAAGUUAGCCACGUGUGGUUAUUCGUAGGUACUGUAUGAAUAAGGACCGGCUAAUUCCGUGCCAGCAGCCGCCGUAA